AUCAAGCUGACGAGUCCAAAAUAGGACGAAACGCGCGUUCUGGAU
rnacentral:hammerhead_ribozyme from 1 species